rnacentral:miRNA from 8 species
UUUGAAACGUUUUGGCCAAAAA